GACGAACGCUGGCGGCGUGCUUAACACAUGCAAGUCGAACGGAAAGGCCCUGCUUUUGUGGGGUGCUCGAGUGGCGAACGGGUGAGUAACACGUGAGUAACCUGCCCUUGACUUUGGGAUAACUUCAGGAAACUGGGGCUAAUACCGGAUAGGAGCUCCUGCUGCAUGGUGGGGGCUGGAAAGUUUCGGCGGUUGGGGAUGGACUCGCGGCUUAUCAGCUGGUUGGUGGGGGAGUGGCUUACCAAGGCUUUGACGGGUAGCCGGCCUGAGAGGGUGACCGGCCACAUUGGGACUGAGAUACGGCCCAGACUCCUACGGGAGGCAGCAGUGGGGAAUAUUGCACAAUGGGCGGAAGCCUGAUGCAGCAACGCCGCGUGCGGGAUGACGGCCUUCGGGUUGUAAACCGCUUUCGCCUGUGACGAAGCGUGAGUGACGGUAAUGGGUAAAGAAGCACCGGCUAACUACGUG
rnacentral:rRNA from 1 species